rnacentral:rRNA from 1 species
CAGUCGCCACGGUAAUACAGAGGGUGCGAGCGUUAAUCGGAUUUACUGGGCGUAAAGCGUGCGUAGGCGGCUUUCUAAGUCGGAUGUGAAAUCCCUGAGCUUAACUUAGGAAUUGCAUUCGAUACUGGGAAGCUAGAGUAUGGGAGAGGAUGGUAGAAUUCCAGGUGUAGCGGUGAAAUGCGUAGAGAUCUGGAGGAAUACCGAUGGCGAAGGCAGCCAUCUGGCCUAAUACUGACGCUGAGGUACGAAAGCAUGGGGAGCAAACAGGAUUAGAUACCCCGGUAGUCCCUGUCUCUUAUAC